rnacentral:tRNA from 1 species
GUAGUCUUAGCUCAGUGGUAGAGUGCUUGCCUCACAUGUGUGAGGCCCUGGGCUCGAUCCUCAGAACUACA